UGUGUGGUAACUUCUUCAUUGAUUGUAACUCAAGUUUUUCGGAGAUCUUCCUCCCCUUUCACUCAAACUUGUUGAUAUUUGGGGACUCAAAGACAGAUUGGAGACUCUUAGACGGUAGGAGUCCUCGGUGAGAAAAUGAUUUGUGAUUUUUCCCGUCGUUUGUGAAGGUUUUGAGAUCGCCUCCAGGUAUACCACCAGUGAUUGGGAAUCACCUUCUUUGUGAUAUCUCAACAAGAAGAGGGUGAGCUUUCAUGGUGUUGAUGUGCCUUUAUGGUAACACCCACCCCUCCAACAUUGACUAGUUUCUCUCCAAAGAAGCGAACAUUCGGAUAUUAUCGUCUCAGGUGUUUUCGGUUAUAUCUAGCCCCUAACUCACCAUAUAGAUUGUUUAUCUCACUACAAUUGUUUAAGAUCUGGUAGUAAGGGGUUAGUAAAAACCAAUUAUUGGACUAGUAUUACCAAAAAAAUCACGUGGAGAAAUACUUUUAAUGAGUGUGGUACUAUUCGAAUCAAUUGAGUUAAACCUAGCAAAAUUGGUGUGAUUUAUGUCAAUCACGAUCCCUAGAUAAGACACUGUUUGUAGAGAUUGAUUCGUUGUAAUCCUAUAAUCAAUUGUAACCUUAGCGAUCAAGUGUCAUCCAUGUAUAAAUACGAGGCAAAUCCCUACGGGGUAUCUCACAGCAAAACAUUGUAGUGUUUGAGUUGGUAACAGAGGCAAGAUGCCGCUGUUUCGGCAACGACAGCACCAACCUCAAGUCCCAAGUUUGAUCCCUAUUCAGACAUUGUGUCGCAACCGCUUCAAUCCUGCGUACUAGUUCAUGUCCAUAGUGUACUACAAACCAGUGUUGCGGCGUUGCUGGAACGCUCACGAUGAUCGACGGGCUGGAGCACAUGAUUAAAGCGGUUGCGGCAUUGCCUGACUUUGGAGCAAACAUGGCUCUUGAGAUUGCUUCCGCCAUUGCCGUGUAUGCGCCCACCAUGGCCACGACCAGCAGUGUGGACGGUCAAGAUUUGACCUACAUUAAAUGCACAUUAUUUGAUGUCAGACCAGAUCACAGAAAAAAACAGAAAAAGAAAGGCGGAAAGGUUUGUAACUACAUUACUUUGUGGUCCAAAUGUGUGCAGGAUUCGGUGGAUGUUCGCAAGAACCAUGAUGGAGUAGCCCGUUUCGAAACUUGGAGUAGCAAGCUCUGUUUGCCCUCAGAUCACGGAAAAAAUCAGAAAAAGAAAGGCGGAUAGGUGUGCAAAUGUGUGCAGGAUUCGGUGGAGGUUCACUUGACACUUGAGAGUUCAAGGAUGGAGGCGACAUGCUUAAAGAAACAUGAUGGAGUAGCCCAUUUCAAAACUUGGGAGUAGCAAGCUCUGUUUGCCCUCAGUUUCUGAACUUGCCAGAAGUCGAUGGGAGGUCGACACGGCGUCCGUUCCCCGGUCGUGCCUGCACCCAGCGGGGACCCUCACCAGGCCUCCACUUUGCCGGACCACCGUGUCCUGCCGGGCAUAGGGUAGCGCGACCGUGGCGUACCGCGCUACCGGUUCUGUAGCUGCUGCGAAACAGCAGCAGCAGCAACGAAGAUACUGCUGAACCUUCCUCGCUCGUAUCCUGCUCCCGCUGCUGCUGACCCUUCUCGUGAUGCUCGUCCUACUCCCCACCGGAGCUAACCACGACCGACGAGGAUAAACAGGGCAGAUUGUAAUCUUUCCUGACCUACUGCAACAACAAACAGCUCAGCACAUUACUCUGUAUAUAUAUAUAUAUCCCUGCCUCGAUGUCUGAACUUUUGUUUGAAACAAAGUUCCUGAACUUCGUAAUUAACAUGUUCUAAUCCCA